rnacentral:tRNA from 2 species
GGGCGGGUAGUUCAGUGGGAGAACGCCUCGCUUACAACGAGGAGGUCGAAGGUUCAAUUCCUUCCCCGCCCA